rnacentral:rRNA from 1 species
AUCGAACGCUGGCGGCAGGCUUAACACAUGCAAGUCGAGCGGAUGAAGGGAGCUUGCUCCUGGAUCUAGCGGCGGACGGGUGAGUAAUGCCUAGGAAUCUGCUUGGUAGUGGGGGAUAACGUCCGGAAACGGGUGCUAAUACUGCCUACGUCCUGAGGGAGAAAGUGGGGGAUGUUCGGACCGCACGCUAUCAUAUGAGCCUAGGUCGGAUUAGCUAGUUGGUGGGGUAAAGGCCUACCAAGGCGACCAUCCGUAUCUGGUCUGAGAGGAUGAUAAGUCACACUGGAACUGGGACACGGUCAAGACUCCUACGGGAGGCAGCAGUGGGGAAUAUUAGACAGUGGGCGAAAGCCUGAUCCAGCCAUGCCGCGUGUGUGGCGAAGGUCUUCGGAUUGUAAAGAACUUUAAGUUGGGAGGAAGCGCAGUAAGUUAAUACCUUGCUGUUUUGACGUUACCAACAGAAUAAGCACCGGCUAACUUCGUG